rnacentral:rRNA from 1 species
GUGUCAGCCGCCGCGGUAAUACGGAGGGUGCGAGCGUUAAUCGGAAUUACUGGGCGUAAAGCGCAUGCAGGUGGUUAGUUAAGUCAGAUGUGAAAGCCCGGGGCUCAACCUCGGAAUUGCAUUUGAAACUGGCUGACUAGAGUACUGUAGAGGGGGGUAGAAUUUCAGGUGUAGCGGUGAAAUGCGUAGAGAUCUGAAGGAAUACCGGUGGCGAAGGCGGCCCCCUGGACAAAGACUGACGCUCAGAUGCGAAAGCGUGGGGAGCAAACAGGAUUAGAAACCCCGGUAGUCC